AUAGGGAAAUGGGAAAACAAACAUUUUAAAGGAAUCAGAGAGUGAGUGCAUAAUUUCAAAGCAAAGUCUUCUCUUGAAUGGUGAUAUGCACUACAGUAUGACCUGGAUCAGUUCCAGGGAUGGCAAUAACUGACUUUAUACUAUGCUGCAAUUUAGAAGGGGGACACGAAACAGGAACCAAUACAUGGUUAAUGCAGAAUACUGGUUGCCUAGAGCUACGAGCUCAGGCUGUAGACAACUGGAUCUUUGAAGAUUUAAUAGGUUCCUCGUUCUCUGUCAGUUGGUUCUUUCAGAAUGCCAAGCCUUAGCUCUGUUCUGCCUCAUACCUACAAUACUUAGCUAUGGAUUUUACAUUAAAGAAAUGUAGUUGGAUUUAAGCUAAUGGACAAUAAAGCAUUAGGGUUAGAGGUGCUGAUACAUGCACAGCUAAACUAGGGUCUGCAAUGAAUUAGCAUUGAAAAUAGAUGGUUUUAUAGUGACACAAGCUGUAUGGCCACGAUGAUGUUCCUAGAAAGGAAAUGUUUAAAUUGUUAACACUUGCCUAGCAUGUUGGAAUGUGAGAAAUAGCAAGAGCAGAAAAAAAAAAAAGCAAUGUAGACAUGGCUCAAUAGUCAACUUCGAGGUCACGUUUAGUGCUAAAGGUAAAGUUCUUAUUGAAUUGGGAGUUGGACUGAUGAAUAUACAAUCAACUGUAAAAAAAUUCAUGAAUGAGACAGAACAAUUGGCAUUAGAGCAGAUCUGAUGAUCUUUGAAAUGCAUGCCUUACCAAAGAAUGUACUAUUGUUCUGUCUAGACACAGUGACACAGUGUAAUAAAUAAAGACUGACAGCAUCGAUAUGUUUCAUAAAUAUAUAACUGAAAUGUUCAUCAUUUCAAGCCAUUAAUAUUUUCUCAAUUACCUUAGGUAAAGCAGUGUGUCCAUCUUAGAAAAUAAAAUAUACUGAAAAUACCAUUUGCUUCCAGACAAAGAAAUAAUGCCGUUUAUUUCUCAUUUCUCUGAACAUAUUCAUCUUCUUAAGUAAACCCUGGAAGUCUGAACCAGGAGCCAUAGAUAAUUCAUUAGCUUCAGUCCACAAGGCUAUUUUCUUAGAGACUUCUUGUACAUAUAAUAUCCUGCAAAGUUUUUAGAAGAUCGCUUCAAGGGUUUGUUUUUUUUUUUUUUUUCUUGUUCCUCUUUUCCUUGAAAAAUAAAAUAAACUGUGAUGGAUAGCUUGUGAAGCUAUCAGUCAGCAUCACGGAGCUGGUGUACUUCUUUCUAAACAGUUUCUUUGGGGGAUACGCAUAUUUUUUUGUUCAUGAAGCCAGAACCAGCAGAUGGGAGCUGAUCCGCAGUUGUACCUACAGGACUGUGGUGGGUUUUUUUUUUCCAGACUCACAUUUCCCAGGGCCAUGAUGCAGUCAAGGAAACUAAAAAUAUAACAUUGGAGAACAAUUAUUCCCUGUCAGGAAAUCUAUAAAUAUUCUGGGAAAGUAAUAUGAGCUACAUAUCCUGUUCCAGGGAAGAGGUGCGCAGAGUUCUCUUAUGUCCUGACUUGCAGUUCUGUGUGACACAGACACACUUCAGUAUCUUUUUAAAUUACUUAAAAAAAGAAAAAAGAAAAACUUGGAAAAGUACAUAAUUUCUUUGGCUGUGAGAGUCACUAAACACAUGUGAAAAAUAGGACUUCCCUCAUCAUAUCCUGGCACCAUGUCCUUUGGCUGUGCAUUUGCAAGGGCUUGUACUGGAUAGGUGACAGUUAUGCCUGCCUCAUACCUAUGCAGUUUCUCCCCCAAAACCAUGGUCCUACGAAAACAAACCAAAAUGAAAGGGUGCUCUUCAGCAGGACGGGCUCAAUCUCCACAUCUCCCUUGGGAAGGUUGGGAUGUCAGCUAGCACUGGAGCGAGAGGGUAUUGUACAGUUGAUGCGCCUCGGCACGACUGUGGAUGUGAGCCAGUUUUCCCACUUCUACCAAAUGCCAACUGCUUGAAAUCAGGAACCAUCUUGUCUACCUUUUUGUAUGCAAUUACCAAUAACAGGUCCUGCCACUUGAUGUCACCAAUAUUUCUCUCUAUAAGAAUAAUUUUAUAUUUUAUAAGGUUCAUAUCCAUUACUUAAGAGUCUGUGGAUACAAAUAAGUUAUCAUUUCAAAUAAUGUUUGUUCUUGUUAUGUCAUUUAAAAACUACCUUCUGAAUACCAAAUGUAAUUGCAUUGUCUUUUAUUUAAAUACUGUAGUUUAUAACUCUGAUGAGAUGUGCAUAAAUUAUGAAAAAAUAUUUUAUUGAUUCUAAAAUACAAAGCAAAGGACUCCAACUGUUGAUUUCAAACUUGUGAAUUAAGACUGGGUCCACAAACCACACCAUGAGGAUGCAAGCAGGUUUCUUGUCUGUUCUCAUAAUGAAAUUUUUACUGAAUGCAGCCAUACCACACUUCCAAGUAGUAGAGGGGAUUCAUACUCCCCCCUUACACCUGCAGGCAACCACUGAGCUCAACAAUGCUCUCAUUGUACCCACAGGAUAUUGGUCCUGGAUUACCACUGAACUUGCAUAGGCAGAGCAACACAAAGGUUGGUCUACUCAGAAGCUUGGGAGAGCCCCCUAAUUCUGAAGAAAGAGACAGAAAACCUCUGGACUUGCCUGAAUAUGUCUCUGUGAAAAUGCAUCUCUUCUACAUAGAUACUUCUCAAACACAUGUGGCUCUUGGGCUUUGGAAUGUGAUUAGUGACACUAGAGAACUGAACUUCAAUUUAUAUUUCACUUUGAUUAUUUAAAUCCACAUGACCACAUGGCUGGUGGUUAUUAUUUUAAGAGUGUGGUAUAAACUAUGUUAUUGCAAGUCUCACACCUAAUUCUUCAUUUGACUGUCAGACACCGCUUUCAGUACUGAGCAACUGCACUGAGUGUUGUCACUAAAAGAGAUUCAAAGAAGUGUAGAAUUUUUCUUUGCAUUUUCAGCAGUGAAUGCUGAUGAAUGGUACUUUCCUGCAACUAUAUCUCCUAUGCUUAGAAACUAGAGAAGCAGAUGCUAGCUUAGAAGAACCGAAAUGGUGGCAUACUGCACUGGAAACUAAGAACUCCCCCAUACCUUUUCCUCAAGAGUUCUUUUGCAAGAUACAAAAUUUAAUGAUUGAAUACAGAUUCUGGCACUUACAGCUGCCAUCCACUGCCACUGAGACACCAUGUUCUCUUAAAUAAAAUUUUACAUGAUAAUUUAGAAUAAAGACAACAGCUUCUGGAGGGAUGCCAUUAGGUAGAAGUUGAAAUCCUUGCUUAUCGUAGCUCCCAUCUUUCCAUCUUCUGAGAUCUUCUUCAAUUUCCUUCUUCAGAGACUUGAAGUUCUUAUCAUACAGAUCUUUCACUUCCUUAGUUGAUCAAAUAAGGGUAACUAUAAGACAUGACAGGUAUCUUAGUUAGAUUUUCUUAACUGGGAUAAGACUUCAUGACCAAAUGCAAUUUGAAGAGAAAAGGGUUUUUGGUAGUUCACCAUUUAGUAAAGUCAGGACAGAAACUUAAGAUAGAAACCUGGAGGCAAUAUCUCAUGCAGAGGGCCCUGGGGAAAUGCUGCCUAAUGGUUUGCUCAGUCUGCUUUCUUUUAUUCCCUCAAGACCACCUUCCUAAGCUAUGCCCUCUAACAUCAUUCAGUGUUUUAGGGUUUUACUGCUGUGAACAGACACCAUGACCAAGGCAAUUCUUAUAAAGACAACAUUUAAUUGUGGCUGGCUUACAGGUUCAGGGAUUCAGUCCAUUAUCAUUGAGGCAGGAACAUGGCACCAUCCAGGCCAGCAUGGUGCAGAAGGGUCUGAGAGUUCUACAUCUUCAUCUGAAGGCUGUUAGCAGAAUACUUGCUUCCAGACGGCUAGAAUGAGGGUCUUAAAAGCCCACACCCAGAGUGACACACCUAUUCCAACAGGCCUCACCUUCUAAUAAUGCCACUCCCUGGACCAAGCAUAUACAAACUAUCAAAAUCACCAGUCAAGAAAAUUCCCCCCACAGUCUUUCCCAAUGGAAGGUCUGUUGGGGUCAUUCUCUCAAUUGAGGUUUCCUCUUCCCAAAACACUCUAGAUUGUGUCAAGUUGUAUCUAUUAUCAAGAUGACUAAACAAGACAGUGAAGAGAACUCAGGUUCCUCGUGUAGCAGUCACCAUGAAAUGAAGUGCUUCAAAAUUUCAGCUAGAACUGCAAGGAUGCUGGGAGCAUUCUCACUCAGAAACCACGCAUACACAUCUGUCCACAUUAAGCUAUCAUUCAAAACCAGGCAGUGCUUCUCUAUGAAGAAAAUCAUAGAAAUUCAGAGUUAGUCCUUGCUGUCUGUGCAUCUUAUGGAAGUAUUUAUCUCCUACCAUAUCACUUAAGGUACACAACAAGCUGAGGGGAGGGGCAAUCUCACAAACCACAGGUGGCAAACACAGAAAACCUACCAUGUUGCUCAGGAUCACUGGCAUGUGUUCCUCACUCUCCAUCAAAUUCUCAGGAUUUGUACCAUUAGUAUUGGGUUGCAUAUGAUAAUACUCAGUUUGAGGUCUUUAUUCCUAAGCCGCUUCUGAAGCCUUGUCUUGCAGCAUUUAACUGUACUUGUGGAUGUUGUACCUGUCACCCACAAGUGUCCUUCUGUUUUCUGGGUGUCAUCUGAUAUUAGCAUUUAAUACUUUUACACAUUUUAAUAAAUUUCAUCAUAUCCAAAAGUAAUAUGGGCUUUAUUAGGAAGAGAUGUGUACUACUUUGGCUCAUGGCUAUUAAAUAUUCAAAAUGUAUUGAAUGAAAGAAUACAAUAGUUCUUUUUCACUGUCUGCCAAUUUCAUUGAGGCCAAUUUCACUCAUCAGGAACUCAAAGCAUUGAUGUUUGACUUUGCUAGUUGGUUUGCCUUGUCCUACAUAAAACCUUUAGGUGUAUCUUUUAGUACUUGCUCUCUCUAUAUUAAAACUAGCUACACUAGAUGUCCAAUAUUGUUGAAAACACUUUUUCUUAUUUGUGUUGUUUAUAGUCAAUCACAUGAAUUUCUCUUUUGUAUUUGUAAACAUUUUGUUGUUUUUUUUUCUAGCAAACUGAAAAGUUUACAACUCACCCAACAUUUGUUCUCAUUGAUAAAAUAUGUACGAGUGAACUCAGCUUGUUCUUGACUAAAGUUUGAAUUCCAUUUAGUGAGAGACAUUCUCAGAUUUCUACCUUAAUCAUUCAAACAACAACAGUCAGAUACUUUUAUAGGUCUUC
ensembl:processed_transcript Gm28262 predicted gene 28262